rnacentral:rRNA from 1 species
GACGAACGCUGGCGGCGUGCCUAAUACAUGCAAGUUGAGCGAUGAAGAUUGGUGCUUGCACCAAUUUGAAGAGCAGCGAACGGGUGAGUAACGCGUGGGGAAUCUGCCUUUGAGCGGGGGACAACAUUUGGAAACGAAUGCUAAUACCGCAUAACAACUUUAAACAUAAGUUUUAAGUUUGAAAGAUGCAAUUGCAUCACUCAAAGAUGAUCCCGCGUUGUAUUAGCUAGUUGGUGAGGUAAAGGCUCACCAAGGCGAUGAUACAUAGCCGACCUGAGAGGGUGAUCGGCCAAAUUGGGACUGAGACACGGCCCAAACUCCUACGGGAGGCAGCAGUAGGGAAUCUUCGGCAAUGGACGAAAGGCUGACCGAGCAACGCCGCGUGAGGGAAGGAGGUUUUCGGAUCGUAAAACUCUGUUGGUAGAGAAGAACGUUGGUGAGAGUGGAAAGCUCAUCAAGUGACGGUAACUACCCAGAAAGGGACGGCUAACUACGUG